AACCAACUGGGUAUGCCCUUAGUACGGCGAGUGAGCGGCAAAAGCUCAAAUUUGAAAUCUGGUACCUUCGGUGCCCGAGUUGUAAUUUGGAGAGGGCAACUUUGGGGCCGUUCCUUGUCUAUGUUCCUUGGAACAGGACGUCAUAGAGGGUGAGAAUCCCGUGUGGCGAGGAGUGCGGUUCUUUGUAAAGUGCCUUCGAAGAGUCGAGUUGUUUGGGAAUGCAGCUCUAAGUGGGUGGUAAAUUCCAUCUAAAGCUAAAUAUUGGCGAGAGACCGAUAGCGAACAAGUACAGUGAUGGAAAGAUGAAAAGAACUUUGAAAAGAGAGUGAAAAAGUACGUGAAAUUGUUGAAAGGGAAGGGCAUUUGAUCAGACAUGGUGUUUUGUGCCCUCUGCUCCUUGUGGGUAGGGGAAUCUCGCAUUUCACUGGGCCAGCAUCAGUUUUGGUGGCAGGAUAAAUCCAUAGGAAUGUAGCUUGCCUCGGUAAGUAUUAUAGCCUGUGGGAAUACUGCCAGCUGGGACUGAGGACUGCGACGUAAGUCAAGGAUGCUGGCAUAAUGGUUAUAUGCCGCCCGUCUAAAAAAGGGGCCCAAAAAAAGUAAAAAAAAAGGAAAAAAAAAAACCACCCAAAACAACAACACACCACCAAACAAACACACCCAAAACCGCCAGCACAUUUCCUUCGGUAUGGCCG
rnacentral:rRNA from 1 species